CACGUAGGGUGCGAGCGUUGUCCGGAAUUAUUGGGCGUAAAGAGCUCGUAGGCGGUGUGUCGCGUCGGCCGUGAAAACCUGGGGCUUAACCCUGGGCUUGCGGUCGAUACGGGCAUCACUGGAGUUCGGCAGGGGAGACUGGAAUUCCUGGUGUAGCGGUGAAAUGCGCAGAUAUCAGGAGGAACACCGGUGGCGAAGGCGGGUCUCUGGGCCGAUACUGACGCUGAGGAGCGAAAGCGUGGGGAGCGAACAGG
rnacentral:rRNA from 1 species